CAGGCUCAGUGCUCAGAGUCUGAUGUGGGGCUGGCUCCCACAACCUAACCUGAGUCAAAAUCAAGAGUCAGACGCUUAACCAACUGAGCCAUCCAGGCACCCCUGAAAUGGGUUUUAAAUUAGAAUAACCAUUUCUUAUUAUUGGAAACAUUUUAAAUAACUUUUAGUAAUAAUAUUUAUUAGUCAUAAAAAGGAAAGGACAUACAUAAAUCUUUCAAAAGACCAUCUCUGAUCUUUUGCUAGAUAUGUUUGCUUUCUUAUAUGUCCCCUGGCCCCGCAAUAGGCUACUUCAGAAUAAUGGAAGAAUGUAAGUUAAAGGCAACCCAACAUCCCAACAAACGCUCAGUAGGAAUUGUCUGGAAACUGUUUAGGGAGGUGGGGGGAAGCCACAGGCUUCUGGGAGUUAAUCAUUUUCUGUGCCUGCCACCUCCCAGUUUUCUCACUGCUGCAUGGCAGUUACCUCUGUGUUGUGUCACACACUGAUUCAUUCCUAGUAGCUAUUAAAGGGCUGACUUUUUUAGGUGAUUGACCCUCCUAAAUAAUCAGACCCAUUUGAGGUCAUGUCUGUGGAAAUAAUAGCAAGCUUGCAUGCUUGCAUUCUAACAUGCCUUCUUGAGUGGGCAAAAAACAAUUGGAAUUUCAGCAGAGAAUUGGGUGUGAUAUCUGAAAUGGAUCAGAUAUACUCAUCUACAAUUUAGAGUGAGAAGAAUAUUCCAAGAAAAAAAUUAAUUUACUUUUUUCUGGGCUUUGACAAUACCUGGAAUAUCACAGGCAUUUCAUUCCAGGGAACAGACCAGGGAUCUUAGGUCUGAGGUACAUGGAGACUCCAGAUUCAUCUCCUUUCCCUCAGCCUGGGCUGUACUUCUUCCUUCUCUUCCUCCCCCAAAGUCUUCAGAAGUCCGUUAUCAUCAGCUCAAAUGCCACAUCCUCUUUGAAACCUCAGUAGUUGUCAGUACUGAUUCUUCUUUACCUUGUAUUGGAAUUCAUUAUGGUAUAACUGUCUUACUCCUUUCCAUAUUUUUCAGUUCCACCCAACCCCCAGCAGUAUCUGGAGAGACUCCAGGGGAGUGUGAGUGGCUAUAGGCUAGUCAUGAGCAGCCAGAGAGGAAACCCAAGUUUUAGUGAAGCACUAUAUGAAAAUGCCACCUGGGAAGGUGUGGUAUCAAACUUAAGGAAGGUUAGAAGAGAGAUACAAAACGUAGAAGAUUUAACCUGAUAAACAUGACAUGGUAAAUGAGGCAGGACUUCUGAGCUAAAAUCUGAGUGAAAUUUACAGAUUUCAGUAAACCAAACCCCUAAAAAGAUACACAGCCAAGAAAAUGUUAGAAACUAGGUUACAAAUUGUACAAGUUUCAACCUAGAGGGCUAAGUUUGUUGAGUAAUGGAGAAUAGUAUGGGCAUUCCAAGAACAGUGCAGUGUUUCCCUAUUAAAAAUGUGAGGAAGUGCAACCUGAAAAGUAAGUACUGGAAAGCAUGAGUUUAGGCCUGCGGAGAGACACUAUGGCACAGCUGUGUCAUGUACACUCAAGAGCCUGUUGCCUUGGGUUCAUAUGCCAGCUCUACCACAGAGCUCUGUGCUGUGGGCAAAUUCUUAACCUCAAUGCCUAAAUUUCCAUACCUGCCAAGUGGGAAACGAAUAAUAGCCACCUCAUGGUAUUCUUGUAAAGACUGGAGCAGCUGUCAGCAAUAGUGCCUGGCACUUAGUGAAUACAAUAUCUUGUUAUUUUAUUAUAUAAAAUUUAAAUAAUCUAGUUGGUAAUUUAUUUGGAACAAGUAAGGAAACUUUAGGGAUAAUCUGAUCAAAGUUUCUGUGAUUCCACAAAUGAUGAAACACAGUGUCAUUAUGUGACCUUUACAAGUCACUUCAAAUGCAUUUUAUUAUCUACUAGUCUCUUAGGGUCAUCCCUAAAUGGCUUUUUUAUGUAUUCAGAUCUUGACUUCCACUAUGGUUCUUGAAUGCAGGAACUUGUGUCUUAACCUUAUGUGUUAAGGCACACAUAGCAGAACUUAAUAAAUAUCUGUGAGGUUUUAUUUUUUUAAUAUGGGAUUUCAAAUUUAUCCCAGGGUCAACCUUUUAGACAUUAACAAUGAUUAGUUUUGUUGUAUUGAGUUUUUUAAACCCACUUGAGAAGACCCAGACAGCCCUGGCAGAAAGAUCUGGAUAAGAAGGUGUUAACAAAGGGAAGGAAGACCCCAGAAGAAAUUGUGGCAUGGGCAGCAUGUCUUGAAGCAUCUUGGCAAUCAGAGGGAAGAAGAUGUGUUUAUUGAAAAGGUGUAAUGAAAGCAAAAGGAAGGGACAGCAAGGAUCAUGGCCCAUACUUUUCAACUCUCUCUGUCCACCUGCAGCCGACUCCACUUUAUGUACUGAUUCCACAAAUGUGGAGCCCCUGACCUCAGGCUGGUUACAGCCCAAUGAAGAAACACAGCAACAGCUUUACAACACAACACAAGCCAUGGAGAGAGGCCCUGUAAGGCCCCCAAGCUCAAAACUCAUAGCCCAAGCUUUGACCAAGAGGUGAAAUUUAUUCUUGCCAUUAACCAAAUGUUAUGGGAACAGCCAGAACAACCUGAAUAGCAGGAGGCGGAGAAGAUCCUAGCACUUCCCUAAACCAUCCAUUUGUGAGCAAUUUCAAAUAAUGACCAAUUUUCCUGGGGAGAGGGGUAAAUGAGAAGAAAAACCAAGUCCAAAGGUCUUAAUUCUGAGGGGAUGAAGAGACUUGGCCUGUGUGGACGGAUAGUGUGCUUUCAUGGAAAGGCAAGACUUUUCUUUGAGAUAUACAGGAUUGGAAGCAGGUAAGAGGCUAAAGAUGUAGGCUGGGGAGGAGUGGAGUGGGAAGCAAUUCUCUGUCCUCCCUAUAGGCCCUCCUUUGUGGAAAAGAUCACUUCUAGAGAUUGGAAUGGCUACAGGAAAUAGAGACUGGGAUUCUGUUCAAAACUGGAUAGGGAUGGCGACUGUCCCUUUGUCUCUGAGCUAGAGGUGGCAGUGGAACAGCCUGUAUCCCUGAGACUUGGAUGCCAAGGUUCCAGGGGGACCUGAAGGUCAAGUGGACACAGCAGGAGCAGCAUUUGUGCCACAUUGUCUCCCCAGUGCCAUGUCUAAGUGGGUGCCCACCAGAUGAGAGAACCCUGCAGGGGGCUAUAGGGAUCAUAUUAUGAAACCUGUGUUGGAUCAACAGCCAGGAUGAGUUUGCUUCACACUCACAGCAGUUUCCCGGGUAGAAGAAAUUUGAUGCCAAUUCUGCACACCCAAAUUCCUGGCAGAUUAAUCAGCAAGUAGUACAGAGAGCUGCUUUCUUUAAAAAGCUUCAUUUAUCACUCAAACUGUGAAUGCUGAGAUGCCAAGGCACUGUGGAGAAAUGAUCCUUUUAGAGGUGACCCUUGACCUUUUUCAUUUUCCCUGUGAGGUUUAGCAGUAUCUCAACAGGAAGCUCCUUGCCACAGUGUAACACAGUGUAUAGCUCUCAUGUGGUUUCACCAUCUCCUGGUACUCAAGUCACCAACAGUCAGCUGUGUCCUACUUUUCCAUGACCCAUCACUGACAACCCAUGUAAUGUCACAUGUUUGAACAACUUAUUUAAGCAUGUCAGAGAAAAUCCAAGUAAAAGAGGAGUCAGGAAGAAUUGUAAAAAUAAAUAAAAGGUAGGAGUUGGCAGGAAAUGAUUUAAAGAGAAAAGGAAAUAGAAAUCAGAUUUGCUUCUAAUUUCCUUUGUGUUCUUACACCAUUUUAGAAAUUAGCAUCUACAUUUAUGACUGAUUGGAUGAACCAACUCUUCUGAUCCUCUCAUUCAACAAACCUACAGAUUUCUUCAUUGGGGUGGAGUUGAGGAAGUUUUCAAAGUGGGCCAAAGCCACAUGGGAACAUGUGUCAAAAGUGAAAUGGUCUUCCAUAAGUUGAGCUUCGAGUAGGUAAUGUAGAAGUUAUCAAACAGCUCCUUUGAGUUCCUUGGUCUCCUGGUUAAGCAACUGGCUGAGCCACUUUCAAAAAAGACCCAAACACACUGGCUUUACAAGACUGGCCUCUGUUUCUCUUUCAGAUGAUAGUACAGUGGUGGGUAGGUGGGUGGUCCAGGGCAAUAGUUGCUCUGCUCCACAAGGUCAUACUGGGUAAUGAAUGAGGCUGAGAUGGUGGCUUUACAUCACCAUUGCAUGAUAUCUACCUGUGGGUUCAUGAUGUCACUCCAGCUGUCCCCGUUCCCAGCCAGGUGGAAGAGGCAAAGUAAGCAGAGGACUAAGAGCUUCCUUUUUAGGGAAUCACCUGACAGCUGCCCUUUUACUUCUGCUCACAUCCCAUUGGCCAGAAACUUGAAGGGAAGCUGGACAUAUGCCCUGACAAAACUCUGCUGGGUGGGGUCUGAUUACUAAAUGGAACAAGGAGACACUGGGUGCCUUGGAGUACUUAGUAGUCUUUGCUGUACCUGGUUCUUUGGAGGUGAUUCAACUCUCUCAGAACAAUCUGUUAGACCCAGUGGGCAAACCCCCAAUUCCCCACUCUACUAGAAAACCUCUACUUCCGUCUAUUUGGGAAUACUAUCUAAAUUUCUAUCUGAAAAAUGGAUUUCUACCCACAAAAAAGUUUGAAGACCAGUUUACAGAUUAGUGUGCCACGGUAGAAAGAGAAGCUCACAUCAGUGGAAUAACUUUAGCCAGAGGACCUUGUUACACCUUGGAGCUGUUCUUCCACUCCCUGGCCGCCACCAUUCUGACAAGCAGACCCUGAGGCAAGGGAGGUGGAGAACUAUAAAGAGCCAGGCUGCACCUCCUCACACAGGAGGCUCAUUUGCUUUCCCACCUGAUCCCUCUUCCACACUCAGCACUAAACAGUUCUCAAUCUCAGGAGGAAAUAAGAAUCCCAAGAUUGAAAAUCCCAUCUUGCUUUGAGUGCAGUCACUGGGGGGCAUGUGGUGGGGGUGGUGCUCAGAAUCAGGGAAAUGGAGAUAUACACAAGCAGGAUUAGGCCAUCUGGAUUUGCUAACUGGUGUUUAUGGAAGCAAGGCUCCUACCCUCCUACAGAGACUGGGAGACAGGGACCUUAUCUGCAAGUGUUGGCUGGAAGAAACUAAAUUCUUCUGGCAGCUUUAAGCUUUCCCACGCAAGAACUUCAGGGGGCUGGAGUGGACAUCCCAAGCACAUGGCCUUGAACUGUUAGAAACUAUGCUAGUGUUUGUUCCAGUCUCUUAAUGCAGGGCUUGGACAGAGUGGUUAGUGCCAAAGCUCUUCUGCAGCGCUGACAGCCCACGCCUCGUCCAUACAGGGGAUCUUUGUGGGGUCGGGUCCAGAACAGCAUGGCCCUUAGAAUAGGGAGAGUGAGUAAGAUUCAGGGCUUCCCACACAUCCCUGCCUUCUCCAAAGCACCCCCGCUGGGGUGGAAAUCUUUCCGGUCAUAAGCUGGGAUAAGAGGAGCCUUGGUUGCCAUUACCCAUCUUCUUGGUUGUCCUCACGGCUUUUGUAUUUUGGUUGUCCUCACGUUUUUACAAAUUAGAAUGGUCCUGUAGUCACAACCUGGGUCCCCGAGCUUCCUAGAGCGGCUGAGCAGGGAGCAGGCUCCAGGUCACACUUCUGACAGCGACAACAGCUUUGGCUGUGUUGAGGGUUUGAGCUGGGACCGCUGGGCGUGGCCCUGAGGGCCGGGCCUGGCACCCCAAGGAGCUUUACGGAGGCGACCACUCAGGCUGUCUUUGGAGCUCUAGCCCCCUCCCUAGUACACCUCACUCCUCAACUCUUCUCCAUACCCCACCUCCAAUCCUUACCUUGUCCCCAGAGCACUUUCCUUCUCUUUCACACACGACCUUGACCCACUCCACUCACCACUUGUACUUGCUGGUGCCUUUUAAGUUCAGCUUCUUUCUAGCAGUGUGUCUGCUUGUAACUUUCUUCUUCCUCCUUUACUGGGUAAUGCCUACUCAGCCUCAGCCCUCAGCUCUCAGCCCUCAGUUACAACACUGCCUUUUCAUUUUUGUCUUUCCCUGAGCCCCCAGACCAGGUCAGUCCCUGCUCCCUCCCACCUCUGGACUUCUCCCAAAGUGAGGCCUCAGUUGUUUAUCUACUCUCAUGAAGUCUCACAGUGAAAAGAAGCAAAGGAAGAGAGAAGUAGUUUGUUUGAUGGCACAGCAGAGUGAAGGCAAGGCUACCUCGACACUGGGGGUCAAGGCCAGCAUGUUUGAAAGCAGAAGCUAAGAUGCCAUUGGAGAGGAGAAAGGUGGUGAGGGCAGUACAAUUGAAGAAGGAGACCCAGUUUAGAAAAAGCAACAAGAAAGAAAGGAAAGUAUGCCCACAGAGACAAAAGAAGCAGGCAUCACAGAGGAAAAAAUCCUCCUGAAAAAGAAGCUGGGACCUACGAGCUCCAAGAAUUGUGCUCAUUGCAGUGUCUUGCUUGUUUUGUUUAAAUUGUAUCUUCAGAGGACAAGGUCUAAGAAAUAACUUUUUUUGGCAUAAGUGACUUCAGAAUGAAAAAUUUUAAAUAUGUAAUUGGAAUGGUUUCAAGAUGACUUAACUAUUAGUAAAUAGCUAACAUCUGUAUCUCAGAUAUUGUUUUGUGGAAGGAGAAGAUGAACUUGCUUGCUAACAGGCCAACUAAAAUAAAAUUGGGAGGAUGGCAGUGUGCACCCCAAAAAUGUUAUCAAAAAAUUAUUUACUGGGGUGCCUGGGUUGCUCAGUCAGUUAAGUGUCCAACUUAGGC